AUUGAACGCUGGCGGCAAGCCUAACACAUGCAAGUCGAACGAGUGGCGGACGGGUGAGUAAUGUCUGGGAAACUGCCUGAUGGAGGGGGAUAACUACUGGAAACGGUAGCUAAUACCGCAUACCAUCGGAUGUGCACAGAUGGGAUUAGCUAGUAGGUGGGGUAAAGGCUCACCUAGGCGACGAUCCCUAGCUGGUCUGCGAGGAUGACCAGCAAGACUGGAACGGAGCCACGGUCAAGACUCCUACGGUAGGCAGCAGUGGGGAAUAUUGCACAAUGGGCGCAAGCCUGAUGCAGCCAUGCCGCAUGUAUGAAGAAGGCCUUCGGGUUGUAAAGUACUUUCAGCGGAGAGGCGUUACGCGCAGGAGGAGCACCGGCUAGCUCCGUGCCAGCAGCCGCGGUAAUUC
rnacentral:rRNA from 1 species